rnacentral:rRNA from 1 species
AGCGAACGCUGGCGGCAGGCCUAACACAUGCAAGUCGAGCGCCCGUAGCAAUACGGGAGCGGCAGACGGGAGAGUAACACGUGGGAACGUACCCUUCAGUUCGGAACAACCCAGGGAAACUUGGGCUAAUACCGAAUACGUCCGUAAGGAGAAAGAUUUAUCGCUGAAGGAUCGGCCCGCGUCUGAUUAGCUAGUUGGUGAGGUAACGGCUCACCAAGGCGACGAUCAGUAGCUGGUCUGAGAGGAUGAUCAGCCUCACUGGGACUGAGACACGGCCCAG